UACGUAGGGAGCAAGCGUUGUCCGGAAUCAUUGGGCGUAAAGCGCGCGUAGGUGGCUUCGUAAGUCCGUUGUGAAAGUCAAAGGCUCAACCUUUGAAAGCCGAUGGAUACUGCGGAGCUAGAGUACGGAAGAGGCGAGUGGAAUUCCUGGUGUAGCGGUGGAAUGCGCAGAUAUCAGGAGGAACACCAAUAGCGAAGGCAGCUCGCUGGGACGUUACUGACACUGAGAAGCGAAAGCAUGGGGAGCGAACAGG
rnacentral:rRNA from 1 species